rnacentral:snRNA from 1 species
AUUCUUAUGCUAGGGUUUUGAGCUUCUAACAGUGAGGAGAAAUCCGAGUUGAAGCAUUUGCUAGUUGCAAAAUACAUCCUACACGUUGUGAAUGAUCGUUUAGAUCGUCACACAAUUUCUGGAAACUUGACUACAGC